GUCUACAGCCAUACCACCCUAAAUGCAUCUGAUCUUGGAAGCAAAGCAGAGUCGGGCCUGGUUAGUACUUGGAUGGGAGACCGCCUGGGAAUACUGGGUGAUGUAGACU
rnacentral:rRNA from 1 species